UGCAGUCGAACGGUAGCACAGAGGAGCUUGCUCCUUGGGUGACGAGUGGCGGACGGGUGAGUAAUGUCUGGGAAACUGCCCGAUGGAGGGGGAUAACUACUGGAAACGGUAGCUAAUACCGCAUAACGUCGCAAGACCAAAGAGGGGGACCUUCGGGCCUCUUGCCAUCGGAUGUGCCCAGAUGGGAUUAGCUAGUAGGUGGGGUAACGGCUCACCUAGGCGACGAUCCCUAGCUGGUCUGAGAGGAUGACCAGCCACACUGGAACUGAGACACGGUCCAGACUCCUACGGGAGGCAGCAGUGGGGAAUAUUGCACAAUGGGCGCAAGCCUGAUGCAGCCAUGCCGCGUGUAUGAAGAAGGCCUUCGGGUUGUAAAGUACUUUCAGCGAGGAGGAAGGCGUUGUGGUUAAUAACCGCAGCGAUUGACGUUACUCGCAGAAGAAGCACCGGCUAACUCCGUGCCAGCAGCCGCGGUAAUACGGAGGGUGCAAGCGUUAAUCGGAAUUACUGGGCGUAAAGCGCACGCAGGCGGUCUGUCAAGUCGGAUGUGAAAUCCCCGGGCUCAACCUGGGAACUGCAUCCGAAACUGGCAGGCU
rnacentral:rRNA from 1 species